rnacentral:rRNA from 1 species
GGAGGGAUCUAGCGUUAUUCGGAAUUACUGGGCGUAAAGCGAGCGUAGGCUGAUUUGUAAGUUGGAUGUGAAAUCCCAGAGCUUAACUCUGGAACUGCAUCCAAAACUACAUUUCUUGAGUUUGGUAGAGGAGAGUGGAAUUCCUAGUGUAGAGGUGAAAUUCGUAGAUAUUAGGAGGAACACCAGUGGCGAAGGCGACUCUCUGGGCCAAUACUGACGCUGAGGUUCGAAAGCGUGGGUAGCGAACAGGAUUAGAUACCCUGGUAGUCCACGCAGUAAACGAUGAAUGCUAGAUGUUGGAAACAUUAGUUUUCGGUAUCGCAGCUAACGCAUUAAGCAUUCCGCCUGGGAAGUACGGCCGCAAGGCUAAAACUCAAAUGAAUUGACGGGGACCCGCACAAGCGGUGGAUCAUGUGGUUUAAUUCGAAGCAACGCGAAGAACCUUACCGGCCCUUGACAUACCAAUCGCGAACUUAAGAGAUUAAGUUCUUCACUUCGGGUGGAUUGGAUACAGGUGCUGCAUGGCUGUCGUCAGCUCGUGUCGUGAGAUGUUGGGUUAAGUCCCGCAACGAGCGCAACCCUUACCUUCAAUUGCCAGCACGUUAUGGUGGGAACUUUGAAGGAACUGCCGGUGAUAAACCGGAGGAAGGUGGGGAUGACGUCAAGUCCUCAUGGCCCUUACGGGCCGGGCUACACACGUGAUACAAUGGUAACUACAAAGAGCAGCG